rnacentral:rRNA from 1 species
GGGGAAUAUUGGGCAAUGGGGGAAACCCUGACCCAGCAACGCCGCGUGAGGGAAGAAGGUUUUCGGAUUGUAAACCUCUGUUCUUGGAGAAGAGAAGAAGACGGUAUCCAAGGAGGAAGCCCCGGCUAACUACGUGCCAGCAGCCGCGGUAAUACGUAGGGGGCGAGCGUUGUCCGGAAUGAUUGGGCGUAAAGGGCGCGUAGGCGGCUGUUCAAGUCAGUAGUGGAAGUCCAGCUUUUAAGGUUGGAAGUGCUAUUGAAACUGAACAGCUUGAGUGCAGGAGAGGUUAUCGGAAUUCCCGGUGUAGCGGUGAAAUGCGUAGAGAUCGGGAGGAACACCAGUGGCGAAGGCGGGUAACUGGACUGCAACUGACGCUGAGGCGCGAAAGUGUGGGGAGCAAAC